rnacentral:rRNA from 1 species
ACGCUCGACACCUACGGGAGUCAGCAGUGGGGAAUAUUGCACAAUGGGGGAAACCCUGAUGCAGCGACGCCGCGUGAAGGAAGAAGUAUCUCGGUAUGUAAACUUCUAUCAGCAGGGAAGAAAAUGACGGUACCUGACUAAGAAGCCCCGGCUAAUUACGUGCCAGCAGCUGACGUAUCNGAGGCGGNGNGACGAG